rnacentral:rRNA from 1 species
UACAGAGGGUGCAAGCGUUAAUCGGAGUUACUGGGCGUAAAGGGCGCGUAGGCGGUUAUUUAAGUUUGAUGUGAAAUCCCCGGGCUUAACCUAGGAACUGCAUUGAAUACUGGGUAACUGGAGUACUGUAGAGGGUAGUGGAAUUUCCGGUGUAGCGGUGAAAUGCGUAGAGAUCGGAAGGAACACCAGUGGCGAAGGCGGCUACCUGGACAGAUACUGACGCUGAGGCGCGAGAGCGUGGGGAGCAAACAGG